rnacentral:rRNA from 1 species
UACGUAGGGUGCGAGCGUUAAUCGGAAUUACUGGGCGUAAAGCGUGCGCAGGCGGUUUUGUAAGCCAGAUGUGAAAUCCCCGGGCUUAACCUGGGAAUGGCAUUUGGGACUGCAAGGCUGGAGUGCGGCAGAGGAGACUGGAAUUCCUGGUGUAGCAGUGAAAUGCGUAGAUAUCAGGAGGAAUACCGAUGGCGAAGGCAGGUCUCUGGGCUGACACUGACGCUCAUGCACGACAGCGUGGGGAGCAAACAGG